GUGCUCACUUCAACAGCAUGUGCAUGAAAAUUGGAAUGAUACAGAGAUGAUUAGCAUGGCCCCUGUGCAAGGAUGACAUGCAGAUUGGUGAAGUGUUACAUAUUUAA